UUGCAAAGGGGGGCCCAGCAGCACACACUGUCUUCCUUUCCAGCUCCUCUCUGACGAACUCUGCGUGCUGUGCGGAGCGUUGCCAUGGUAACCCGUGGCAACGCUCUGGCGGCCGCAAAAGAGUUAGAAAGAGAGGAGCUGGAAGGAGGACAGAGUGUGCUGCUGGGCCCACCUCUGCA